UCUGGGAUACCUGAACAUUGAGUACAUGACAACUAAAACUAAAAAUGGGCAUAAUUGAUUACUUGAAGGCCUUGGAUUCUACCUUCAUUUCAUUUCCUAUCCCAUGUAGAUAUAUAGUUAAGUGUUCACAUGAUUAAAAAUUAAUUAGUUAUGGGAAAAAGAGAUACAAAGUAUUGAGUUAAUUACAUAUUAGAUAAUGGUUCUCUAAAAAUCAUGAUCUGUAGAAGGAGAGGAGAGAUUUUCUUAACCUUAGAAAAAGAGAACUCUGUAGCAAUAAUAAAGUUAAAGAAUUAUAUGAUCAUGGAAAUAAUAUGUUCUAGAACUGUGACUUUGGGGAAAAGAUUCUCCUGUCAUGAUGACUAGAUAGUGUAUAUGGUAUUGCCAGUUGCA
rnacentral:lncRNA from 1 species